rnacentral:rRNA from 1 species
GACGAACGCUGGCGGCGCGCUUAAUACAUGCAAGUCGAGCGAGAACCAGUCCUUCGGGACUGGGGAAAGCGGCGAACGGGUGAGUAACACGUGGGUAAUCUGCCCUCGGCACUGGGAUAGCCCGGGGAAACCCGGAUUAAUACCGGAUGGCCUCUCGAGCUCUCGGGCUCGAGAGAAAAGGUGGCUUCGGCUUCCGGCUGAGGAUGAGUCCGCGGCGGAUUAGCUUGUUGGUGAGGUAACGGCUCACCAAGGCUCCGAUCCGUAGCUGGUCUGAGAGGACGAUCAGCCACACUGGGACUGAGACACGGCCCAGACUCCUACGGGAGGCAGCAGUAGGGAAUCUUGCGCAAUGGGCGAAAGCCUGACGCAGCGACGCCGCGUGCGGGAAGAAGGCCUUCGGGUUGUAAACCGCUUUCAGGAGGGACGAAGCCACUCGGGUUAAUAGCCCAGAGGGUGACGGUACCUCCAGAAGAAGCCCCGGCUAACUACGUGCCAGCAGCCGCGGUAAUACGUAGGGGGCGAGCGUUGUCCGGAUUUAUUGGGCGUAAAGCGCGUGUAGCGGCCAG